CCUACGGGUGGCAGCAGUGAGGAAUAUUGGUCAAUGGGCGGGAGCCUGAACCAGCCAAGUCGCGUGAGGGAUGACGGCCCUAUGGGUUGUAAACCUCUUUUGUCGGGGAGCAAAGCGAACCACGUGUGGUUCAUUGAGAGUUCCCGAAGAAAAAGCAUCGGCUAACUCCGUGCCAGCAGCCGCGGUAAUACGGAGGGUGCGAGCGUUAAUCGGAAUUACUGGGCGUAAAGCGCUCGUAGGCGGUAUGUCAAGUCAAGGGUGAAAUCCCCGCGCUCAACGUGGGAACUGCCUUUGAAACUGGCAAACUGGAGUGUGUGAGAGGAUAGUGGAAUUCCAGGUGUAGGAGUGAAAUCCGUAGAUAUCUGGAGGAACAUCAGUGGCGAAGGCGACUAUCUGGCACAUAACUGACGCUGAGGAGCGAAAGCGUGGGUAGCAAACAGGAUUAGAUACCCUAGUAGUC
rnacentral:rRNA from 1 species